GUUUUUUUUUGGUUUCGUUUUGCUUUUUUUUUUCUUCUCAUUGGGGUUUAAAUACAAUAACAAAAACUUAGG
rnacentral:ribozyme from 13 species